GCUAAGAACUGUUCCCUUACUGAAGCAGACACCUGUUACAAUAGUUUUAAUAGUAACAACCUUAGUCUUUAAAUCAGGGUUGAUUUUAGGUUCUUAUCUAAGAAUGAAAUAUCUCCAACUGUAGAGGGUUGAAGGCGUGUCAUAUAUGUGACCUGUUCAGGAGGAGACGAUUCAACCACUUUUCUUAAAUUCAGAUCUACAUGUCUUAACAGUCUUUGUUUUAAGGGCCACAUAAAAAUAAUCUGAAACAAUUUACACAUUAGGAAAAUGCUAACACUUUCCUUCUGGCCCAGCACAUCUCCAGGUUAAAAAAUCUCUAUUAUCAACCCCUAAUUUAAUCAUGGUAAUUCCUUCCUACUCCCAACAUAGAUUUCCAUGUAACUGAUUUAUAACUACAACCCUUACCACAAUCACAAGUGCCAUUACAAAAUGGUAAUAAAUAUGUACUGUAAUAAUAAAUAGAUGGUUAAAAUCACUUAGGGAGUAUGAAUCAUCUCUUUUUUUGUUUAUUUGUACUUAUUUUUUGUGCUGAUUUAUGAUGUCAGCUUCAAGCUGACUUCCCUUUCCUUUGCUCCACACACCUUGUGUUGUUCUUUUUCAGCAUCCUGUGUAUGUUAACUCUAAGCCCAACCAAGCCCCACGCCCUCCACUUCAGGGACAGAGGGUGGCUCAUCCCUUUGCUGCUCCCUCAGCUCCCUGCCAGUGCCUGGUUGCUGGUUGGCAUCACAGUCAUGCCUUUGAAUGGUGGGCACUGGUCCACACUGCAUCUGUGGUCAUGCAGUCAUCCUCCCUCCACAGAGCGGGGCAAAAAGGGCUCCACCACGCUUAGACAUUGAGGGAAGGGAUGUUUUGAAAGGCGCUGUCUCCUGUGUUCCCACAGGGGAGAAGGAGGUUCCUUGAAUGGGAGUGGUCUGUUGCUGAGAGGGGUCCUGAAAGGCAGGAGGACAGAGAUAGAGGGAGAAGCUACAUAAUGAGGAAGGAGCUGAGAGCAAAGGAGCCCCUGUCAGAGGAAUAUCCUUGGGAAAUAAAAGGCUGGCUCUGCCCUUUCUGCCAGGACAUUCAUCCCAACCCAGCCAAUUCAUACCUACCUUCUGUCAGAACUUAGAAAGGAUGCAAAGCAAUCAGGAAGAACCAGCCCCUGGGCCUGGGGAAACUGUCAGGAGCAGUGACAUCACAGGAAAAACCACCAACCAAGGCCAAGGAGACCAGAGCCCAGCCCCUCGCCCAGAGGAUCUCAGUCAGAGGCCCCAUUUCAGACCCCAGGCUAGCAUGGGCUGCAGGCUGCUCUGCUGUGCGCUGCUCUGCCUCCUGGGAGCAGUCCCCAUGGACACCGGAGUUACCCAGACCCCAAAACACCUGGUCAUGGGAACGAUGAAUAAGAAGUCUUUGAAAUGUGAACAACACCUGGGGCACAAUGCUAUGUACUGGUACAAGCAGAAAGCUAAGACGCCACUGGAGCUCAUGUUCAUCUACGGAUUUCAAAAACAGACUGAAAACAAUAGUGUGCCCAGUCGCUUCUCACCUGAAUGCCCUGACAGCUCUCACUUAUACCUUCACCUACACGCCCUGCAGCCAGAAGACUCGGCCCUGUAUCUCUGUGCCAGUAGCCAAGACACAGCCUUGCAGAGUCACCGUCUCCCUGUGCAGAAACCUUAGGGGCUUCUCAGGAAGCCAACACGGAGGGCUCGGGUGAACACUUCCUGCAAGAGCCCCGACAGAGGCUUCAGAACACCAUAGCACCUGCUCAUUCAUCUGUGUGGCAACUUUACAUGCU